rnacentral:lncRNA from 1 species
CUUAGGGUCUCUCAUGAGUUCCAGUCAGAUUGAUGCGGGGUCGGUGAGCCAAGGAGUCGAAAGAAAGAUUUCUUAGACUCUCAAGAUCUGGCAGUAGUGCUCUUUUAUUUAAUGAAUAGUAUAGAAUAGCAUGGGGACAGGACCCAUGGGCAGGCAGAGCUGGUGUGUGGGGACAGGACCCACGGGCAGUCAGAGCUCCUGCUGCUGCCCUGAGUUGAGGGUUAGGGCUAAUUUUAUAAGGCAUGGGUAUGUGAAUCAUCUCUUUACAAGACAAAGGAAAGAACAUGAAAAAAAGUUAAAAUGGUAUCAGUGCAGGUGGGGUCUGGUCGUUGGGUGAUCCCAUGACUUUUAGACAAGAAUCAAAUCGGAUUAAGUAAAGGUUAGAAAGGUUAGAUGCCACCACCCUAAACCAGUUACAUGAGAUUGCCAGACAGCAACCAACUGAAGUUCUUGCCUCCCCCAUUAAGAAUUUCUAGGGAUAAGGUCAUCUCUCUUCUUCUUCCUGGUACAGAGAGGGAGGCACCUUUUACAGAUAGAGAUUUACCUUACAAAUGUAAAUGUGUCCCAACAAGGGCAAGUUCCAUUCCCCAGAGCCUCCUUCCCUGUCCCAGUUUAUCGAAAGCAAUCAGCCCCAAACAAUCCUGAUGCCAAAGAGACAUAUCCUGGGGUGGCCAAUUUCAGGUCCCUACAAGGUCAUCCCCCCUUCCUUCACAAACGCAAAUGUCUCAAAAGGGCAAGCAAAAUUCCAGUCCUCGAGCUUGCUUCUCAUCUGCAGUUUUAAAAAUAACCAGCCUAAAAGUCCUCAUCAAGAUGACAGCUGGGCUUUCGAGUAUAAGACCUUGUGAGGAGUCUCUAAGCCUCAGCUUUCUCAUCUGUAAAAUGGAGAUAAUAAGAGAAGUCACUUCCUGGGGCUGUUAGGGGGAUUAAUGAAAUAAUCCCUGUGUGGCAGAGACUGCGAAUUGCCAACCCCAAGGUCAGGUCCCCGUUCUGUCUUUGUAACAGAUGCUCCAAUUUUCAGCUGUGAAGAUGGCCAUCUGGACUAAAAGUCUACCUGUUCCAUCCUUUUUCAUUUUUUUCCAGUCAGUUCUGUUUGAAGAGAGAGACGUAGAGGUGGAAUGUGGCAGCUUUCAGGAAUACUUCCUGUGAUUGUAAUUUUAGGUGUCACCUUGACUGUGCUAGGGGAUGCCCAGAUGCCUGGUCAAACAUCAUUUCUGGGUGUGUCUGUGAGGGUGUUUCUGGGAGAGUCAACAUUCGAGUCAGGAGGCUGAGUAAUGAGGAUCCCUCUCACCAAUAUGGGCAGGCGCCAUCCCAGACUUGGGGGGCCUGAAUAGAGCACAAGGGCAGGGGCAGGGCAAAGCGGCUCUCUCCGCUUGAACUGGACAGCCAUUUUCUCCUGCCCGCAGACAUCGGUGCUCCUGGUUCUCUGGAUUUCG